ensembl:lncRNA
GUCUUCAAAAGUUUUUUUCUAUGUGUGACAGAUCAAGUAUGUAAAUCACAUGUUCGUGUGUGUGUCCUGUGCCGGUCUAAAGGCCUCUUCAGUUUACAGUGUGUUUAGACGCAAAUUUAGCCCAUGGCUUUACUGAAUGCUGUAAUCACACACAACAAUACCUGUCAAACCAUUUGACCAUUCACAAAACACUGCACUCCUCUCUCUCUUUCUCUUCCUGGCAGGUAGAUCUUUGGUGCUGCAGCUGCAUGUCAUGAAUUGAAUGAAAGAAGGCACUUGAGCAACUAUGUGUGCACCAAGUAAAAAGCACAAUGUAGGAGCAUUAGUAUGCUAAUGAGGUGCGGGGCGACAGGUGGCCCGCUAGACAGCUCAAUUAAGAAGCUCGUUAAAGGCCAAGCUAACGAAGCGGCCUGCACUGCAAGCCUCAACAAACAAUGUGACUGUGCAGGCUACAAAUUGGAAAUAUAAAGGCAAGAAUGAAACCUGUUGUCCUCUAUGAUUCCAAUUCUUUCAAAAAAAAAGUAAUCUGUGUCUCUAGCAGCUUGAAUGAAUAGGCGUAUG